AUGACAAUUGUCCAUACAUACGGGAAGCCUGACAUCUUCCUGACCAUGACUUGCAAUCCUAAAUGGGAAGAGAUAACGAAUGAGUUGCUGCCUGGUCAGAAGGCGCAAGACCGACCUGAUAUUGUGGCUCAUGUGUUCUACGGCAAACUAGAGGCUAUGAAAGACAUGUUGUUCAAGAAGCAGAUCCUAGGUGUUGUUGUCGCUUUUGUAUACGUAGUCGAGUUCCAAAAAAGGGGCCUCCCCCAUGCACAUUUUUUGUUGAUCAUGGACUCAACAUAUAAGCUUAUCGUCCCGGAGCAGUAUGACCGACUCAUUUCCGCAGAGCUCCCAGACAAGCAUAAGUAUCCGGAAUUGUAUGGAAUGGUGGUAAAACAUAUGCCACUCCAUCGCCUUCUACGGCGAACCGACCACUUCGAGUGGACGGACGCGGCAACAACCGGACUGGAAGAAAUAAAAACCCUUCUUGUGAGCAAUCUAAUCCUGGCCGCACCAAAUGCUGGCGAACCAAUGUUAUUAUACAUAUCGGCAACACAUCAGGUGGUGAGAACAGGACGGACAUAA
rnacentral:rRNA from 1 species